rnacentral:rRNA from 1 species
AAUCAACGCUGGCGGCGUGCCUAACACAUGCAAGUCGAACGAGAAGUGGAGCAAUCCAUGAGUAAAGUGGCGCACGGGUGAGUAACACGUGACUAACCUACCUUUUAGUGGGGGAUAACCUAGGGAAACCUGGGCUAAUACCGCAUAAUACCUACGGGUCAAAGCAGCAAUACGCUGAAAGAGGGGGUCGCGGCCGAUUAGCUAGUUGGCGGGGUAAUGGCCCACCAAGGCAGUGAUCGGUAUCCGGCCUGAGAGGGCGCACGGACACACUGGAACUGAAACACGGUCCAGACUCCUACGGGAGGCAGCAGUGGGGAAUUUUGCGCAAUGGGGGAAACCCUGACGCAGCAACGCCGCGUGGAGGAUGAAGUCCCUUGGGACGUAAACUCCUUUCGAUCGGGACGAUAAUGACGGUACCGGAAGAAGAAGCCCCCGGCUAACUUCGUGCCAGC